rnacentral:rRNA from 1 species
AUCUUUGGCCACACCACCCUGAAUGUACCCGAUCUCGUCUGAUCUCGCAAGCUCAGCAGGGUGGGGCCUGGUUAGUACUUGGAUGGGAGAUCCUCAAUUUUCUCAUCUGUAAAAUGGAAAUGUAAAAAAUA